rnacentral:tRNA from 1 species
GCGGCACUAGCUCAUCCGGAUAGAGCAACGGCCUUCUAAGCCGUAGGCGGCCUGUUCGAGUCAGGCGUGCCGCA